CACCCUCCUUUCACUUUGCCAAUUAGACAUUUUUUUUGUCUUGAUUGGUCAUUCAAGGUGGGUAAAGUGUAUCUCCUUUUAAAACCCAAGCAAAUGAUGGUCAUUUGACUUGGAUCCUGUCAGAGGAAACAGUU
ensembl:snoRNA